GUUGAGUCGUCUGUCGUUAACCAUGCGUCUGCUACCCUUGGUCGUCGUGUUUUGUCUGGUGCUGGUGGCCGCUGAAGGUGCCCGCUGCGGCCGCUUCGGGCAGGCGUGUGGGUUCUUCAAGAGGAAUGUCUGCCGCUGGUGCCCUGGCCGCAGGGAGCGGUCUCUGCUGCCUUCCUGGCGACACACAAAAGGAAUGCCAAGCUAAAUGCCAUAAACCGAAAAUUUGCACCACAAGAAGGGAUACUUGCCACAAGGGCUGGUGCUGCAUUGGGUGAACAGGACAACAUCGCGAGACAGAGUCAACUGCAUCACCGACCGCCGGCUGCUGCCGUCGACAGAAGAUGACUGGUGUUUGAGGCCACCCAGUGACUGUCAGGGCGUGACAUCCCCAUGUUUUCAAAUUCGUGGCCUUCUUGCAAGCCCGUGUAGAAUCCUUGACAUGCCUGCAUGUCGGAAUUACAUUCGGCGGCUUUUUAUAAGGUUCUGUACGAAAUACAAUAAU